rnacentral:rRNA from 1 species
AUUGAACGCUGGCGGCAUGCCUUACACAUGCAAGUCGAACGGCAGCAUGGAGAGCUUGCUCUCUGAUGGCGAGUGGCGAACGGGUGAGUAAUGCAUCGGAACGUACCGUGUAAUGGGGGAUAACGUAGCGAAAGUUACGCUAAUACCGCAUACGACCUGAGGGUGAAAGCAGGGGAUCGCAAGACCUUGCGUUAUACGAGCGGCCGAUGUCAGAUUAGCUAGUUGGUGAGGUAAGGCUCACCAAGGCGACGAUCUGUAGCGGGUCUGAGAGGGGGAUCCGCCACACUGGGACUGAGACACGGCCCAGACUCCUACGGGAGGCAGCAGUGGGGAAUUUUGGACAAUGGGGGAAACCCUGAUCCAGCCAUGCCGCGUGAGUGAAGAAGGCCUUCGGGUUGUAAAGCUCUUUCGGCCGGGAAGAAAUCGCACAGGCUAAUACUCUGUGUGGAUGACGGUACCGGCAUAAGAAGCGCCGGCUAACUACGUGCCAGCAGCCGCCGUAA